GGUUAAAGGACAGCGCCUGGUCCAAUUUUAUUGGAUGACGAGGAAUGAGCUUAUCGAAAGAUUCGGCGGGUGGCUCAAGGGUUCGCACUCUAAAGACUAACUACAAAAACAGGCUGUAAAGCCUGAACAGAAUGUUGGUCAGCGAUUGGA
rnacentral:ncRNA from 2 species